UGAGCUGUGGUGUAAUGGUAACACUACGGAUUUUGGUUCCGUCAUUCCGAGUUCGAAUCUCGGCGGCUCAA
rnacentral:tRNA from 1 species